rnacentral:rRNA from 1 species
CGACCGGCGCACGGGUGAGUAACGCGUAUCCAACCUUCCCAUUACUGUGGGAUAACCUGCCGAAAGGCAGACUAAUACCGCAUAGUCUUCGAUGACGGCAUCAGAUUUGAAGUAAAGAUUUAUCGGUAAUGGAUGGGGAUGCGUCUGAUUAGCUUGUUGGCGGGGUAACGGCCCACCAAGGCGACGAUCAGUAGGGGUUCUGAGAGGAAGGUCCCCCACAUUGGAACUGAGACACGGUCCAAACUCCUAAGGGAGGCAGCAGCC